rnacentral:rRNA from 1 species
UGGGGAAUAUUGGACAAUGGGCGAAAGCCUGAUCCAGCCAUGCCGCGUGGGUGAAGAAGGUCUUCGGAUUGUAAAGCACUUUAAGUUGGGAGGAAGGGCAGUAAGCGAAUACCUUGCUGUUUUGACGUUACCGACAGAAUAAGCACCGGCUAACUCUGUGCCAGCAGCCGCGGUAAUACAGAGGGUGCAAGCGUUAAUCGGAAUUACUGGGCGUAAAGCGCGCGUAGGUGGUUCGUUAAGUUGAAUGUGAAAGCCCCGGGCUCAACCUGGGAACUGCAUCCAAAACUGGCGAGCUAGAGUAGGGCAGAGGGUGGUGGAAUUUCCUGUGUAGCGGUGAAAUGCGUAGAUAUAGGAAGGAACACCAGUGGCGAAGGCGACCACCUGGGCUCAUACUGACCCUGAGGUGCGAAAGCGUGGGGAGCAAACAGG